AUGCGAAAGCAGUUGAAGACGAGUUCGAAAAGAGUUUGGAAACGAAUUCGAGUAGGCUUGUCGUUCGUUAUGUUUUUGUAAAUGGCCUCGUCAAACGG
rnacentral:misc_RNA from 1 species